GACGAACGCUGGCGGCGUGCUUAACACGUGCAAGUCGAACGGAAAGGCCCUGCUUUUGUGGGGUGCUCGAGUGGCGAACGGGUGAGUAACACGUGAGUAACCUGCCCUUGACUUUGGGAUAACUUCAGGAAACUGGGGCUAAUACCGGAUAGGAGCUCCUGCUGCAUGGUGGGGGUUGGAAAGUUUCGGCGGUUGGGGAUGGACUCGCGGCUUAUCAGCUUGUUGGUGGGGUAGUGGCUUACCAAGGCUUUGGCGGGUAGCCGGCCUGAGAGGGUGACCGGCCACAUUGGGACUGAGAUACGGCCCAGACUCCUACGGGAGGCAGCAGUGGGGAAUAUUGCACAAUGGGCGGAAGCCUGAUGCAGCAACGCCGCGUGCGGGAUGACGGCCUUCGGGUUGUAAACCGCUUUCGCCUGUGACGAAGCGUGAGUGACGGUAAUGGGUAAAGAAGCACCGGCUAACUACGUG
rnacentral:rRNA from 1 species